GAUGAAGAACGCAGUGAAAUGCGAUAAGUAAUGUGAAUUGCAGAAUUCAGUGAAUCAUCGAAUCUUUGAACGCACAUUGCGCCCGCCAGCAUUCUGGCGGGCAUGCCUGUUCGAGCGUCAUUUCAACCCUCGAGCCCCCCCGGGGGCCUCGGUGUUGGGGGACGGCACACCAGCCGCCCCCGAAAUGCAGUGGCGACCCCGCCGCAGCCUCCCCUGCGUAGUAGCACACACCUCGCACCGGAGCGCGGAGGCGGUCACGCCGUAAAACGCCCAACUUUCUUAGAGUUGACCUCGGAUCAGGUAGGAAUACCCGCUGAACUUAAGCAUAUCAAUAAGCGGAGGA
rnacentral:misc_RNA from 1 species